rnacentral:rRNA from 1 species
GGCGAAUGCUGGCUGCGUGCUUAACACAUGCAAGUCGAACGGUGAAGGAGGGCUUGCCCUCCGGAUCAGUGGCGAACGGGUGAGUAACACGUGGGCCACCUGCCCCUCACUCUGGGAUAACGCCGGGAAACCGGCGCUAAUACCGGAUACGACCAGGCGCGACAUCUCGCCUGGUGGAAAGAAUUUCGGUGAGGGAUGGGCCCGCGGCCUAUCAGCUAGUUGGUGGGGUAACGGCCCACCAAGGCGACGACGGGUAGACGGCCUGAGAGGGCGACCGGCCACACUGGGACUGAGACACGGCCCAGACUCCUACGGGAGGCAGCAGUGGGGAAUAUUGCGCAAUGGGCGAAAGCCUGACGCAGCGACGCAGCGUGAGGGACGAAGGCCUUCGGGUUGUAAGCCUCUUUCAGCGGGGACGAAGCGAAAGUGACGGUACCCGCAGAAGAAGCACCGGCUAACUACGUGCCAGCAGCCGCUGUAACAC